UACGUAGGGCGCGAGCGUUGUCCGGAAUUAUUGGGCGUAAAGAGCUCGUAGGCGGCCUGUUGCGUCCGCUGUGAAAUCCCGGGGCUCAACCCCGGGCUUGCAGUGGAUACGGGCUGGCUAGAGGCAGGCAGGGGAGAACGGAAUUCCCGGUGUAGCGGUGAAAUGCGCAGAUAUCAGGAGGAACACCGAUGGCGAAGGCAGCUUCCUGGCCCAAUUCUGACGCUGAGGUGCGAAAGCGUGGGUAGCGAACGGG
rnacentral:rRNA from 1 species